rnacentral:lncRNA from 1 species
AGCGUCACUCGCACCGCCGCACACCGUGUUCCGUCGUCGGUGCGGUCUUGUGGGCCUGGACUACUACGGGAUCCCGAGGUCCGCUUUCGAGAUUGCGGACCACGAGUAGAAAGGAUAUCCAGUGUGCUGCUCCACGUUUGCCAUCCUCCCAACGUCCCCAACCGGAGAUGGCCUCGAGCACUUCUUACCGUGGCUGACCGCGUUGGCUCCUUUGCAUUUCCACGUCCAUGGCGUCCUGCUGGCACGAGGACUUCGUCUGCUACUACUGCCCACGUGUAAGAUGGAUAUCCAGCGCGCUGCUCCACGUUUGCCAUCCUCCCAACGUCCCCAUCAGGAGAUGGCCUAGAGCACCGCUCGUACCGUGACCCACCUUCCUCUUUGCCGGUGCGGUCUCACUGGAAGAGGAGAUUGCUCAUCGCCCUGCUUUGC